UCACAAGAUGCCAGGUGUCUUACUUUCUGA
rnacentral:piRNA from 1 species